GGGCGGUUAGCUCAGUUGGUUAGAGUAUCUCGUUGACAUCGAGGGGGUCGAUGGUUCGAAUCCAUUAUCGCCCACCA
rnacentral:tRNA from 7 species